CCCGGGCUGCCCGCCCCCGGGACAAGUCCCCGCCGUCACCAUGGAGACCCAUAGACCAGUGAGGGCCGGCACAGGAGGAAACACCGGGCCCCAAAGCCUCCGUGCGGCAGCAUGAGGAAAACUCUACAUAGCCAGCCACCAUGUUGCGAACUGCCCCAUGGAGAGGUCCACGUGGCAAAGAACUGAGGGAUACCUCCAACCAAUAGCCAGGGAAGAACUGAGACCCUCAGUCCAACAAGCUGUGAAGCGCUGAGUCCUGCCAACACCAUGUAAAUGAGCUAGGAAGUGGAUCCUUCCCUAUUUGAGCCUUGAGAUGACUAUAACCACUGCCAAGACCUUGAUUGUAACCUGUGAGAGACCCUGAAGCACAGGACCCAGAGAUGAUUAGGUAGAAAUAAAAAUACAUGAGGGAAACAGAGGUGGAGCCAAGAUGGCAGAAUAGACGGAUGCUUGUCGAGCCCUCUUUACAACAAAGACCCGAAAAAACAAGUGAAACUAGUAUAUUUGUUACAAGCUGGGAGCCCUGAGCAUCAAAGGCAAGCUUAGACAACGAACUGAGGGGCAGGGGGAAGAAGAGACCGUUCGGCAGCGGAGAGGAGUUUCCGGACCUGGGUCUCGGGGACCCCUCAGGCACCAUUCCCGGAGCAGCGGCGGCGGAGGCGGGCUGGUCCUAGCGUUAUGCCGCAGUUUCCUCAGGGAGAAGCAGCCAGCCACACAGCCCACUCACACCUCCAGAACCGAGGAGAACGGUGCUUUCGGCAAAAGCUAAGUACUUGCGGAUAUUUUACCGCACCCCCUACCCCCAAGCCUGGUUCAGCAGCUGAAUCCCUGGGCCUGAGAUAGACCCUGGUAAGCACGUAGAGCCAUCCUCCCUGCCUUGGGGAAGGAAAGAAUUUGCAAUUGGGGGGAAAAGAUAAUUUGCCAGCUCCAUUAACCAGGGGAACUCAGGACAGAAGCAGCUCCUGUCCAGGCAUAAACCGUCUGUGGACCUUGAGCACCUUUCCCUUCUGCAUGGACCUGUGUGGGCCUAUUUCAGGAGAAUAGGCCCUUGUUGGCAAACUCCAACCAUUUCAGCUGUGCGGUGGAGAGGUGGGUGUUUGAUGUUUGACAUUGCUUUGCCUAUUAAACAAGGUCUUCACCUACCCACAACAGGGACGUAAGGACUGGUGGCUCCACGUGGGUCACCCAGCCACCCGUGACAGGGGUCCAGGGAUAACUGGUACCUCCCAGUCCUUACAGCAAAAACUUUGGGUGCCCACGAUCCAUUUGCUUCUGGGAACUCUAAAUUAUUUUCCGUGUGUAUGUAGAGCAAGUCAUCUUACCGUAAGGUCUACCUCCACACUGUUGUUGUUCUUGUUGGGGGCCGUUGAGUGGAUUCUGACUCGUAGUGACCCUAUGUGACAGAGUAGAACUUCCCCAAAGGGUUUUUUUUUUUUUUUGGCUGUAAUCUUUAUGGGAACAAGUUGCCAAGUCUUUCUUCUGUGGAACUGCUGGGUGGGUUCGAACUGCCAACCUUUGGUAGUAGCAGAGUGCUUAACCAUUGCACCAUUAGAGCUCCGUACCUCCACACUAGGUUACUCAGAGUCACCAAGGUAUUUAGUUAAUAGGGUAAAGGUCCUUCCAUGUAACAGCAUCUAUCAGUUCUAGAUUACAGAAAUGAUUAAUAACCUGGUACCGGAUUCCCACUCUAGUACAUUUUCUUCUAUCUCAGACUUCUUGCACUGAUACUGUCAACAUUUGAAGAAAAAUAACUAAGGGAUAUGUGUUAGCAUCUUCAUGUGUUUAAAAUCACUGAUAAAAUGAAUUAGAUACGUAUCCAGAUAUGUAGCAAUUCCACAU